CUGAUAGAAAUCAAGACGAAUCACGCCGAAUCCCGUGGAAUCGUGCCGUAUCGGGUCGAAUCCCGUCGAAUUGCAUUGAAUCUGAUCAAUUCAAAUCAAAUCAAAUCAAAUCGAUUACAAUCGACUAGAGUAGGGUAGAGUACAAUAGCAUACAAUAGAGAAUAGAGUAGGAUGGAGUAGAAUGGUGUAGCAUGGAGUCGAAAAGAGAUAAUAGAGUUGAGUAGAGUCUAAUAGAGCUGCAUAGAGCCUAUUAGAGCUGACUAGAGCCGAAUGGAGCUGAUUAGAGCUGAAUCGAACCGAUUUGAGCCGAUUGGGGAUGAAUGGAGUGGAAAGGAGCCGAUUGGAGCCAAAUCGCAUCGAAAUGUGUGGAAUCGAAUCCAGUAGAAUAGAUUAGGUUAGGGUAGGAUGGAAUAGAGUAGAAUUGAACACAGUAGAAGAGAAGGGAAAGAAUACAACAGAAUAGAGUAGAAAAGGGUAGAGCAGAGCAGAAUGGUGUAGAGUAGAGUAGAGUAGAACAGAGUCCUUUGUGCUGAUUUCCUUUCUCCAACAGUUUCCUCAAGGUGCAUGCCUUGCAAGUAGAUGUUUAAGUUCUUACUUACUUGUCUGGAAAUGCCUUGAUUGCCCUCACAUUUUGUCUGGGUUAGAAUUCUACUUUAAAUCAGAACUUGAAAGCAUUACAUUAUAAUCUUCUCCUAGCUAAUUUGCUGCUGCAAAGGCUCUGGUCAUGUUUUCUGUUUGUUUGUGUUGUUGAAGAACAAAAUCCCACACUCUAUUAGGAGUGAAAGAAAAUGAGUUUCAUUGAGGAAUAGCAAGGCCAUCACCAAAUAGCAGCUCCCGCCUGAAGGGAUUACUCCAUGUUUGGCUGCUAAACCACCCUCCCCAGGAAAACUGUUAGCCCCUCAGACCCCCAUCUGCUGAGAUUAACCCAGUUGUGUCUGAAGAGCCUUUGUCUCAGUCGUCCACUAGGGUGAUGUCUGAGUCACUGCCUGGGGCAUCAUCCCUUAAGGCAGAUGUCUUACAAGACAUUGCUGAAUGUUCUCCAGACACAUUCCCAACACCCAUUGUUGCUUCUAGGCCUAUAACUAGACUGAAGUCCCUGCUAUCCUCAAAGGUAAAGCACAAAAUGUGAUCCAGGGGGAGGUACACUACACUCCAAAAGAAAAAGAACUGCUUGACUUUUCUAAUACAUACAAACAAAAGCCUGGAGACUACGUGUGGGAAUUGCUAUUAUGGGUGUGGGAUAAUGGUGCAAGGAACAUAAAGUUGCCUCAGCCUGAGUUCAUUGAUAUGGGUCCACUAAGCACAGAUCCUUCAUCCAGUGUUUCAGCUAGAGAGCUUAGGAAAGGAUUUAAUAGUUUAUGUGACUGAUUCAGUGAAGCACAGAUUAAGCGGUGGCCCACACUAAACCCAGCUGAAGUGCCAGACCCGCCUUGAUUUCACAGUAGAAGAAGGUAUCCAAAGGCUUAGGGAAACUGGCAUGUUAGAGUGGAUUUCUCGGCUUAGACCCACAGACCCACACAUGGAAUGCUCAGAGGACACACCUUUUACCGCAAUGGUGAGGAAUAAAUUUGUGAAGGGAGCCCCAGCAUCCUUGAAGACUGCUGUGAUUGUUAUUUUAUGGAAGUCAGAUCUCACAAUGGGAGAUGCCCUAACUGAAUUAAGACACCAAACUACAAUGGGGCUGAUUGGACCCCACGGUGUUAGGGGCCAUGCGGGUGACUCAAUGGACAAGAACAAGAGAUAAAAAGAAAGGGAAGCCAGCAGAGAAUGGGGACCUCAUGCCACCAAGAAAGAAGCACUGGGAGCAGAAACGGUGCUUUGGAUCCGGGCUUCCUGUGCUAAGAAGCUCCCAGUCCAUGGGAAGAUUGAGGAGAAGGACCUUCCUCCAGAGCCGAGAGAGAGUCCAAGCUGCACUGAAGGCUCUGGCAAAAAACAAGGCUCCAGGAAUGGACAGAAUAUCAACUGGGAUGCUUCAACAAACAGAUUCAGUGCUGGAAGUGCUCGCUUGUCUAUGCCAAGAAAUUUGGAAGACAGCUGCCUGGCCGACCAUCUUUAUGCCUAUUCCCAAGAAAGGUGAUCCAACAGAAUGCAGAAAUUAUCGAACGGUAUCAUUAAUAUCACACCCAAGUACAUUUUUGCUGAAGAUCAGCUGUAGCAGUAUAUGCACAGAGAACUACCAGAAAUUUAAGCUGGAUUCAGAAGAGGACGUGAAACCAGGGAUAUCAUUGCUGAUGUCAGAUGGAUCCUGGCUGAAAGCAGAGAAUACCGGAAAGAUGUUUACCUCUGUUUUAUUGACUAUGCAAAGGCAUUCGACUGUGUGGGUGAUAAAAAAUUAUGGAUAACUUUGCGAAGAUGCGAAAUUCUGGCACAGUCGAUUGUGCUCAUGAAGAACUUGUACACACAGCAACUGGCAGUCAUUCGAACAGAACAAAGGGAUGCUGUGUGGUUUAAAGUCAGUAAAGGUGUGCGUCAGGGUUGUAUCCUUUCGACUGACCUGUUCAAUAUGUAUGCUGAGCAAAUAAUCUGAGAAUCUGGGGUAUAUGAACAAACACGGGGCAUCAGUAUUAGAGAAAGAUUCACUAACAACCUGUGUUAUGCCGAUGAUACAACCUUGCUUGCUGAAAGUGAAGAGUACUUGAAGCACUUACUGAUGAAGACCAAAGACCACAGCCUUCAGUAUGGAUUGAUCACACCUCAACAUACAACAAAAAUCCUCACAAAUGGACCAAUAAGCAACAUCAUGAUAAAAAAAAAAAAAAGAUUGAAAUUGUCAA